rnacentral:rRNA from 1 species
UACGUAGGGUGCAAGCGUUAAUCGGAAUUACUGGGCGUAAAGCGUGCGCAGGCGGUUAUGCAAGACAGAGGUGAAAGCCCCGGGCUUAACCUGGGAAUUGCGAUGGAGACUGCAAGGCUUGAAUCUGGCAGAGGGGGGUAGAAUUCCACGUGUAGCAGUGAAAUGCGUAGAGAUGUGGAGGAACACCGAUGGCGAAGGCAGCCCCCUGGGUCAAGAUUGACGCUCAUGCACGAAAGCGUGGGGAGCAAACAGG